rnacentral:rRNA from 1 species
AUUGAACGCUGGCGGCAGGCCUAACACAUGCAAGUCGAACGAGUGGCGGACGGGUGAGUAAUGUCUGGGAAACUGCCCGUUGGAGGGGGAUUACUACUGGAAACGGUAGUUAAUACCGCAUACCAUCGGAUGUGCCCAGGUGGGAUUAGCUAGUUGGGGGGGUAACGGCCUACCAAGGCGACGAUCCCUAGCUGGUCUGAGAGGAUGACCAGCCACACUGGAACUGAGACACGGUCCAGACUCCGACGGGAGGCAGCAGUAGGGAAUCUUCCACAAUGGGCGAAAGCCUGACGCAGCAACGCCGCGUGAGUGAUGAAGGUCUUCGGAUCGUAAAGCUCUGUUAGUAGGGAAGCGGUACCUAAUCAGAAAGCCCCGGCUAACUACGUGCCAGCCGCCGCGGUAAUUC